AUUGAACGCUGGCGGCAGGCUUAACACAUGCAAGUCGAGCGGGGAAAGUUGCUUCGGUAAUUGACCUAGCGGCGGACGGGUGAGUAAUACUUAGGAAUCUGCCUAUUAAUGGGGGACAACAUCUCGAAAGGGAUGCUAAUACCGCAUACGCCCUACGGGGGAAAGCAGGGGAUCACUUGUGACCUUGCGUUAAUAGAUGAGCCUAAGUCGGAUUAGCUAGUUGGUGGGGUAAAGGCCUACCAAGGCGACGAGCUGUAGCGGGUCUGAGAGGAUGAUCCGCCACACUGGGACUGAGACACGGCCCAGACUCCUACGGGAGGCAGAAGUGGGGAAUAUUGGACAAUGGGGGGAACCCUGAUCCAGCCAUGCCGCGUGUGUGAAGAAGGCCUUAUGGUUGUAAAGCACUUUAAGCGAGGAGGAGGCUCCUUUGGUUAAUACCCAAGAUGAGUGGACGUUACUCGCAGAAUAAGCACCGGCUAACUCUGUGCCAGCCGCCGCCGUAAUAC
rnacentral:rRNA from 1 species